rnacentral:pre_miRNA from 1 species
CCCACAAUCCUGUGUGUAGGACCCCAAAGGAUCACCAUUAAAUUUGGCAUAAAUCUCUAGAAAAGUUAUCACAUGGGUGUGGGACUUGACUUUUGUAGAUAUACGUGCCAAAUUUAAUGGUGAUCUUUUGGGGUCCUACACACAUGGGUGUGGG